GGAAGAGCCAUAGCUCAGGGGAUAGAGCAUCUGCCUUGCAUACGGAAGUUUCCUGGUUCAAUCCCUGACCUCUCCA